GUAUCUUAUAACCCCAGCUUGUAACCAGAGACUAAGAUAUUUGGGUUCUGAGGAAACACUGAAGACAAAUGCACCUGGGGAAGCCCCAUUCUGAACCUCUGUUGUCAUUCACAAUAGAUAUUACCCUUGUAUAGUGAUCAUCCAGACUUUUCCAGAAAGGUGCAAAAUUUUUCAGUUAAACUCCAGAAUAUGGAACAGAGAUUGGGACAGACUCUGUAGAAUAUAUAGACCCUCUCUUUCUACAAGGUGCAACAGCUACCAAGUUGUCCCUCUAUCUGCUCCGGUCCUGGCAUGUCUCAUGAAACUAAUGGAGCUGGCUUCCAAUCUCUAUCUGGAAUUAUAGGCAAUAUAUGUUGGCAGUCGGAGUUAGUACAGGAAAGUUGGCUGCGAUUAUUCCAGUACCUAGUCUGCUUUCUGCUAGUUGUCGCUAGAUCACAUACAUGGGAUCUACAAUGGCGUCAGCAGGUGCUUUCCUUCAGAGCUUGGUGGUCCGGCGAAUAUGAAAAAGAAACUUAUAAUUGAGGAUGAAGAUGAAUAUACUUGGAACUCCAUGUGCAAUAAUACCAGCUGCCUGACAUAGACAAAAGUUAGAGAAUAAGAUGCACUUCUUAUCUUCAAGGAAUAAAUUCCAUAUUCUCGGUCUAUAAGAAGAGGGGGCUGGGAGCUCAGAAACCAAACUGACCUCAACUCUUCUGAAACUAGCUCCAAGUAGAAGGUCGCAAGGUCUGUACAAUGUCUUUCAGGAGCCAACGCCCACGUCAAUGCCAGGAGAACAAGUCUUCCUCAAGGGAUGAUUACUGCAGCUAUGUGACCAAAAUAGAGAGGAAGACAAGCAUGAUUGAAGGGCCCUACUUCCCCAAUCUUCAGACUGUGUUCAAGCACAAGGAAGUCCAUGAGGAGGAGGAGAAGACCCGCCCUGGACUGUUCGGCGGGCCAAGGAAAAAGGAGUGGUUUGAAGAGAAGGAGACAUAUGAUGUCUCUGAGACAACCAACUAGGACAUGGCCUUGCAAGGAGGAGAGUGCAUAUGAAGUCUCUGAGAUAGCUUAAGCAUUAUCUGUAGCUAUGGCUUUGCACCUUUAUAAAAUAAAUCUCUCACUCUCUCUCUCUUCUAUGCUUUAUCUUAUCCAUUUGAAUACAACUAUAAUUCUCUAGUAUUCAAUAAAGGUAUAGUUCCAUAUUUUAGCCUAAGACUUUCACUCUUAUAUAUCUUUCUUCGAGUUUUUCGGAGAGAUUUUUGAGAAGUCUAUGACAACUCUGCAGAAUCAACCAUGGGCAUUCCAAAAUAUUGGUCCAAGCCACUGACCUUGUUCUAUAACAUCUAAAAUAUUUACAAGUUAAAAAUCAUUAGCGCAAGUUAUCUAUUGAUGCAUCAAGUGGGUGCAAAGCUUAUAGUGUAAAUAAUACUAACAUGUUAAAAGGCAUAAAUCCGGUCCAUUGAUUAUAACGACUUAUCAAAAUAUAUAUGAACUAAAAUAACAUGUAAAUCAUAAAACUUUUAAGACAUUUAGUGC
rnacentral:lncRNA from 1 species